AAAUGUCAGUGGGUUAAGGCGUAGAAAUGACAGAAAGAAAAGUGUUGGAGCAUAGAAGCAUAGAAAAAUUGUAAACAAACAGAUACUGUAAAAGCAGGAAGGUAAAAAAAGAUUCUGGCGUGGUUAAAGAUAGAAUUUACGGUAGAUUAGUAGAAAAUUUGAUAGUAAAAGUGAAGUUCGGAAAGAUAGAUCAGUUGGAAGUGAAAGAUAGUGUUGCAUCGUUGGUAAUAAUUCAGGCAGUUUAAGGUUGGGGAAAUCGCAUGCAAGGAAAAACUAGAUUUGUAAGCUAAAUUUAUUUGUUACAAUUCACCGAUUAAAUAAAACUAAUUCUAGUUGAAGCUGUUUAAAGUGAAACUGCUGUUCGAAA